rnacentral:rRNA from 1 species
GAUGAACGCUGGCGGCGUGCCUAAUACAUGCAAGUCGAGCGAACGGACGAGAAGCUUGCUUCUCUGAUGUUGGCGGCGGACGGGUGAGUAACACGUGGAUAACCUACCUAUAAGACUGGGAUAACUUCGGGAAACCGUAGCUAAUACCGGAUAAUAUUUUGAACCGCAUGGUUCAAAAGUGAAAGACGGUCUUGCUGUCACUUAUAGAUGGAUCCGCGCCGCAUUAGCUAGUUGGUAAGGUAACGGCUUACCAAGGCAACGAUGCAUAGCCGACCUGAGAGGGUGAUCGGCCACACUGGAACCGAGACACGGUCCAGACUCCUACGGGAGGCAGCAGUAGGGAAUCUUCCGCAAUGGGCGAAAGCCUGACGGAGCAACGCCGCGUGAGUGAUGAAGGUCUUCGGAUCGUAAAACUCUGUUAUUAGGGAAGAACAUAUGUGUAAGUAACUGUGCACAUCUUGACGGUACCUAAUCAGAAAGCCACGGCUAACUACGUG